rnacentral:tRNA from 1 species
GCGGGUGUGGCGGAAUUGGCAGACGCACCAGACUUAGGAUCUGGCGUCGCAAGGCGUGGGGGUUCGACUCCCUUCACCCGCACCA